rnacentral:sRNA from 1 species
GCGGGGGCGGGGGGGAAGGGUCUGGCCUGUCCUCCGCCAUCCUCCCGAGCCGCUCUCCCUCAGACUAGGGUUCCUCCUGGUUUUCUCCUGCCUCGUGCUGUCUGUGUUUUCCACCAUCAAGGAGUAUGAGAAGAGCUCGGAGGGGGCC